rnacentral:rRNA from 1 species
UACGUAGGGUGCAAGCGUUAAUCGGAAUUACUGGGCGUAAAGCGUGCGCAGGCGGUUUCGUAAGUCUGUCGUGAAAUCCCCGGGCUUAACCUGGGAAUGGCGAUGGAGACUACGAGGCUAGAGUUUGGCAGAGGGGGGUAGAAUUCCACGUGUAGCAGUGAAAUGCGUAGAGAUGUGGAGGAACACCGAUGGCGAAGGCAGCCCCCUGGGUCAAAACUGACGCUCAUGCACGAAAGCGUGGGGAGCAAACAGG